CGCGUAGGCGGACCUUCAAGUCGGUUGUGAAAACUUCGAGCUUAACUCGGAGCCUGCAUCCGAUACUGUCGGUCUUGAGUACAGGAGAGGAAAGUGGAAUUCCAGGUGUAGCGGUGAAAUGCGUAGAUAUCUGGAAGAACACCAGUAGCGAAGGCGGCUUUCUGGACUGAUACUGACGCUAAAGCGCGAAGGCUUGGGGAGCAAACAGGAUUAGAUACCCUGGUAGUC
rnacentral:rRNA from 1 species